AACGAACGCUGGCGGCAGGCCUAAUACAUGCAAGUCGAGCGCACCUUCGGGUGAGCGGCGGACGGGUGAGUAACAUGUGGGAACGUGCCCUUCUCUGCGGAAUAGCCCUGGGAAACUGGGAGUAAUGCCGCAUACGCCCUUUGGGGGAAAGAUUUAUCGGAGAAGGAUCGGCCCGCACCUGAUUAGGUAGUUGGUGGGGUAACGGCCUACCAAGCCUACGAUCAGUAGCUGGUUUGAGAGGAUGAUCAGCCACACUGGGACUGAGACACGGCCCAGACUCCUACGGGAGGCAGCAGUAGGGAAUCUUGGACAAUGGGGGAAACCCUGAUCCAGCCAUGCCGCGUGUGUGAUGACGGCCUUAGGGUUGUAAAGCACUUUCGCUAGGGAAGAUAAUGACGGUACCUAGUAAAGAAACCCCGGCUAACUCCGUGCCAGCAGCCGCGGUAAUU
rnacentral:rRNA from 1 species